AAUGCAGGGACACCAAGCUGAGAACUGACAUCCACCAAGUGAAUGGGGAAGAAGGGGCAGGCUUGGAGUUGAAGUGGCCCAGUAGAGUUCAAAGAGAUCAUUGGCACUGAAGUUACGAGUGAAGGGUCUUAGUUGUCACAUUUAAGAAGCCAUUUAGGAAAACUUUUAAGCAGAUCACAGGCAUAUAUGCUUCACUGUCCACAGCUGUAUGGAGACUCCAGUGGACAAGUCUGGGAAGUGCUGAUCUAAACCACACCAAAGGCUUGCUCAAGUGGAACCUUGAAGAUCAACUGUCAAAUUACCGCUAUCUGGAAGUUGCCUUUGAUUUUAC
rnacentral:lncRNA from 1 species